AUUAAACGCUGGCGGCAUGCCUUACACAUGCAAGUCGAACGGCAGCACGGGGGCAACCCUGGUGGCGAGUGGCGGACGGGUGAGUAAAGCAUCGGAACGUAUCCUGGAGUGGGGGAUAACGUAGCGAAAGUUACGCUAAUACCGCAUAUUCUGUGAGCAGGAAAGCAGGGGAUCGCAAGACCUUGCGCUCUGGGAGCGGCCGAUGUCGGAUUAGCUAGUUGGUGGGGUAAAGGCCUACCAAGGCGACGAUCCGUAGCGGGUCUGAGAGGAUGAUCCGCCACACUGGGACUGAGACACGGCCCAGACUCCUACGGGAGGCAGCAGUGGGGAAUUUUGGACAAUGGGCGGAAGCCUGAUCCAGCCAUGCCGCGUGAGUGAAGAAGGCCUGG
rnacentral:rRNA from 1 species